UUCAAGGGCUUCUUCCUCCACUAGCACUGAUACGAGUUCUAUCACUUACUUUCACGUUGAUGGAUUUGCAGAUGACAGUCCGCGAUAGCGCCGCCAGUGGAAAAUUCAGGACAACCAACUGUGGGAAAGACUCUGGAACUUUAAAGGAUGUUUUCAUGGUCCGCAUCAGGACUCUUCAGAGGGUUCUGCUGAGUUGGCAGUGAAAUGAGAAUGAAACUUAGAGGCCCGAAGAGGGAGUGGACCCUCCACGGCUCAGACCGUGGAUCGUGACGGAGGGGAGGCUCCGUGGAUUCUACGAACAACACGGUAAUGAAGCGGAACUAGAACAAGGAGCAGAAGGCUAGAGAACGGACAGAAGGAGAUUCUGGGUAAAUCAACGCGUUUUCUCCUACUUACAGCUGUAUAACAGAGAACAAACUGCCAUGGAAGGCUGCGCUCUGAGGCCGGCUAAGGCAGCACCACAGUUACGUCUUUCAUGUACGGCUGUUCAAGCACAGACUGGCUGAUCAGUGAUCAGAGAUGCUACAGGAGAGUUCUGCCCCAGCCCUGAGAGUUAACAAGAUCACUUUCAGCUCCAAAACCUACACGUUUAGUUUAAUCGCUCACCCAGCCGUCAUUGAGACUGACCUCAAAUAGUUCCAACUCCAUUCAUGGAGUCAUACAGCCCGUACACACCCCGUCAACAGCUCGCGAGUGACUGUGUCGGGACGCUGCUCUGAGGCUGGCAUGGAACAGGGACUAAGAAAGGCGACCCAGUCUCUGCCCUUGUGAGCUUGUGUUCUUUGGGAAGUAGUUCAUCUAAAUAUAAACAGACACAAAAGAGUGAGUACCAAAGAACAGAAUGGAGUCAUUACUGGAAAACCUCUCUGGAAAUCAUCCAGCAAAAUGAACACG